GACGAACGCUGGCGGCGUGCUUAACACAUGCAAGUCGAACGGAAAGGCCCUGCUUUUGUGGUGUGCUCGAGUGGCGAACGGGUGAGUAACACGUGAGUAACCUGCCCUUGACUUUGGGAUAACUUCAGGAAACUGGGGCUAAUACCGGAUAGGAGCUCCUGCUGCAUGGUGGGGGUUGGAAAGUUUCGGCGGUUGGGGAUGGACUCGCGGCUUAUCAGCUUGUUGGUGGGGUAGUGGCUUACCAAGGCUUUGACGGGUAGCCGGCCUGAGAGGGGGACCGGCCACAUUGGGACUGAGAUACGGCCCAGACUCCUACGGGAGGCAGCAGUGGGGAAUAUUGCACAAUGGGCGGAAGCCUGAUGAAGCAACGCCGCGUGCGGGAUGACGGCCUUCGGGUUGUAAACCGCUUUCGCCUGUGACGAAGCGUGAGUGACGGUAAUGGGUAAAGAAGCACCGGCUAACUACGUG
rnacentral:rRNA from 1 species